UACGUAGGGUGCGAGCGUUGUCCGGAAUUAUUGGGCGUAAAGAGCUUGUAGGCGGUUUGUCGCGUCUGCCGUGAAAAUCCGGGGCUCAACCCCGGACUUGCGGUGGGUACGGGCAGACUAGAGUGUGGUAGGGGAGACUGGAAUUCCUGGUGUAGCGGUGAAAUGCGCAGAUAUCAGGAGGAACACCCGUAGCGAAGGCGGCACUCUGGGCCGAUACUGACACUGAGGAGCGAAAGCGUGGGGAGCGAACAGG
rnacentral:rRNA from 1 species